rnacentral:rRNA from 1 species
UACAGAGGUCUCAAGCGUUGUUCGGAUUCAUUGGGCGUAAAGGGUGCGUAGGCGGCGCGGUAAGUCGGGUGUGAAAUCUCGGGGCUUAACUCCGAAACUGCAUUCGAUACUGCCGUGCUUGAGGACUGGAGAGGAGACUGGAAUUUACGGUGUAGCGGUGAAAUGCGUAGAUAUCUGGAGGAACACCGGUGGCGAAGGCGGCAUCCUGGACCGACACUGACGCUGAGGCGCGAAAGCUAGGGGAGCAAACGGG